CUGCCCAAGAGACUGGGAUAACACCUGGAAACAGAUGCUAAUACCGGAUAACAACACUAGACGCAUGUCUAGAGUUUGAAAGAUGGUUCUGCUAUCACUCUUGGAUGGACCUGCGGUGCAUUAGCUAGUUGGUAAGGUAACGGCUUACCAAGGCAAUGAUGCAUAGCCGAGUUGAGAGACUGAUCGGCCACAUUGGGACUGAGACACGGCCCAAACUCCUACGGGAGGCAGCAGUAGGGAAUCUUCCACAAUGGACGAAAGUCUGAUGGAGCAACGCCGCGUGAGUGAAGAAGGGUUUCAGCUCGUAAAGCUCUGUUGGUAGUGAAGAAAGAUAGAGGUAGUAACUGGCCUUUAUUUGACGGUAAUUACUUAGAAAGUCACGGCCAACUACGUGCCAGCAGCCGCGGUAAUACGUAGGUGGCAAGCGUUGUCCGGAUUUAUUGGGCGUAAAGCGAGUGCAGGCGGUUCAAUAAGUCUGAUGUGAAAGCCUUCGGCUCAACCGGAGAAUUGCAUCAGAAACUGUUGAACUUGAGUGCAGAAGAGGAGAGUGGAACUCCAUGUGUAGCGGUGGAAUGCGUAGAUAUAUGGAAGAACACCAGUGGCGAAGGCGGCUCUCUGGUCUUGCAACUGACGCUGAGGCUCGAAAGCAUGGGUAGCGAACAGGAUUAGAUACCCUGGUAGUCCAU
rnacentral:rRNA from 1 species